GACGAACGCUGGCGGCGUGCUUAACACAUGCAAGUCGAACGGUGAAGCGCCUUCCUUUUUGGUGGGUGUGGAUGAGUGGCGAACGGGUGAGUAACACGUGAGUAACCUGCCCCCUUCUUCUGGAUAACCGCAUGAAAGUGUGGCUAAUACGGGAUAUUCUGGGUCUGUCGCAUGAUGGGUCUGGGAAAGAUAUUGUUUCGGUGGGGGAUGGGCUCGCGGCCUAUCAGCUUGUUGGUGGGGUGAUGGCCUACCAAGGCGGUGACGGGUAGCCGGCCUGGGAGGAUGGACGGUAACAGUGGGGAUGAGACCCGGACCAGACUACUACGGGAGGCAGCGGUGGGGAAUAUUGCACGAUGGGCGCAAGCAUGAAGCAGCGACGCCGCGUGAGGGAUGGAGGCCUUCGGGUUGUGAACCUCUUUCGCCAGUGAAGCAGGCCUGCCUAGUUUGUGGGUGGGUUGACGGUAGCUGGAUAAGAAGCGCCGGCUAACUACGUG
rnacentral:rRNA from 1 species